rnacentral:rRNA from 1 species
UAAACUAGGAUUAGAUACCCUAUUAUUUUAUAUGUAAAUUUUUAACUUGGAUAAUAAUAGUUAUGUUCUUUAAAUCUAAAGAAUUUGGCGGUAUUUUAGUCUAUUUAGAGGAACUUGCCCUAUAAUCGAUAAUCCUCGUUUUAUCUAUCUUUAUUUUGUUUUCAGUUUGUAUACCUCCGUUAUAAGUUUAUUUUAUUAGAAUUUUAAUUUACAUUAAUCUUAAUUUUGAUUUAUAUUAGGUCAAGGUGCAGUUUAUAAUAAAGUUGAGGUGGGUUACAAUAUUAUAUAUAAAUGGAUAUAUAUUUUAAAAUUAUAUUGAAGGUGGAUUUAAUAGUAAUUUUGAUAAUAGUGUUGAUUUGAUUUUAGCUCUAAAAUAAGUACACAUCG